UAUUGAAAUAUUUAAAAGAUGGAUAUAUAUAUGGAUCAAUGUCAUAUAGCAAUGGGAGUUUACCGUUGAAGUUUCAAUGUUUUCUAUCCAAUUCUAAAGAUCCAGCAAAUAUGACAGAUAUUUAACAGAAUUAUAAAAAGUAAAAGAAAGUUGUAGUAAAGGAUGACCCUUAUUUCGAAAAUGAACCAUUCUGAAAACGCUGCAUACUAAAAGGAACUGAAAAAAAGAAAGAAAUCAGAAAAAAAUAAAAAUAAAUAAAAAAAAAAA